AUACUUACCUGGCAGGGGAGAUACUGUGAUCAUGGAGGAGGUUUUCCCAGGGUGAGGCUCAUCCAUUGCACUGUGGGUGUGCUGACCCUUGUGAUUUCCCCAAAUGCAGGAAAUUCAACUGCAUAAUUUGUGGUAGUAGGGGACUGCGUCUGCGCUCUCCCCUG
ensembl:snRNA U1 U1 spliceosomal RNA